CCUGACGGAGCAACGCCGCGUGAGGGAGGAAGGCCUUAGGGUUGUAAACCUCUUUUCUCUGGGAAGAUAAUGACGGUACCAGAGGAAUCAGCCUCGGCUAACUCCGUGCCAGCAGCCGCGGUAAUACGGAGGAGGCAAGCGUUAUCCGGAAUUAUUGGGCGUAAAGCGUCCGUAGGUGGUUUAUCAAGUCAGCUGUUAAAGCGCGGGGCUUAACUCCAUAAAGGCGGUUGAAACUGAUGGACUAGAGUGCGGUAGGGGUUACGGGAAUUCCCAGUGUAGCGGUGAAAUGCGUAGAUAUUGGGAAGAACACCGGUGGCGAAAGCGCGUAACUGGGCCUGCACUGACACUGAGGGACGAAA
rnacentral:rRNA from 1 species